rnacentral:rRNA from 1 species
CGUGUAGGCGGUCUUUUAAGUCUGAUGUGAAAGCCCCGGGCUCAACCCGGGAAGUGCAUUGGAAACUGGGAGACUUGAAUACGGGAGAGGGUAGUGGAAUUCCUAGUGUAGGAGUGAAAUCCGUAGAUAUUAGGAGGAACACCGGUGGCGAAGGCGGCUACCUGGACCGAUAUUGACGCUGAGACGCGAAAGCGUGGGGAGCAAACA